UGCAUUUGCCCAGUUGAUCCUUUGGGUUUGGUCAGCAUCAGCAGGUUAGUGUGACUAUUUUCCUCAAGGAAGGUAAGCCUUUUGUGGGCUGUUAUAGCCUUGAGUUAUUUUUGUUUACAUUCCUGCUGAGGUGUGUUCUUGCGCGUUCGCCGGCUACACUUUCGAGUACUGGCGUUCAGCGAUGCUGUCCCUAACGGUUUCAACCGACCCGUCUUGAAACACGGACCAAGGAGUCUAACAUAUGUGCGAGUAUGCGGGUUGUAACCCUGUAUGCGCAAUGAAAGUGAGAGUAGGGAGAGGUUUGAUUCGUUUAGGCCUCGCACCUACGACCGACCACGAUCUUUGUGAGAGGUUUGAGUUGUAGCACAUCUGUUAGGACCCGAAAGAUGGUGAACUAUGCCUGAGUAGGGUGAAGUCAGGCGAAAGCCUGAUGGAAGCUCGUAGCGAUACUGACGUGCAAAUCGUUCGUCAAACUUGGGUAUAGGGGCGAAAGACUAAUCGAACCGUCUAGUAGCUGGUUUCUUCCGAAGUUUCUCUCAGAAUAGCUGGAGUUCAAUUAGUUUUAUCAGGUAAAGCGAAUGAUUAGAGGCCUCGGGGGCGCGUCGCCCUCGACCUAUUCUCAAACUUUAAAUGGGUAAGAUCCAGUGGUUACUUUAUUGAACUGCUGGGGUUAAUAUGAACUCCAAGUGGGCCAUUUUUGGUAAGCAGAACUGGCGAUGAGGGAUGCUCCUAACGCUUGGUUAAGGUGCCAAAAUACUCGCUCAUCAGAUACCAUAAAAGGUGUUGGUUCAUUUUGACAGCAGGACGGUGGUCAUGGAAGUCGAAAUCCGCUAAGAAGUGUGUAACAACUUACCUGCCGAAUGAACCAGCCCUGAAAAUGGAUGGCGCUGCAGCGGGUUACCGAUACCAGGCCAUUAUCGCAAGUUUUUGAACACUCGACUUUUUGCG
rnacentral:rRNA from 1 species